rnacentral:misc_RNA from 1 species
GAUGAAGAACGUAGCGAAAUGCGAUACGUAGUGUGAAUUGCAGAAUUCAGUGAAUCAUCGAAUCUUUGAACGCACAUUGCACCUCUCGGUAUUCCGGGAGGUAUGCCUGUUCGAGCGUCAUUUGUACCCUCAAGCUCUGCUUGGUGUUGGGUGUUUGUUCCGCCUCUGUGUGUGAACUCGCCUCAAAACAAUUGGCAGCCGGCGUACUUGUUUCGGAGCGCAGCACAUUUUGCGAUCCAGAUCAACGUACAGCGGCAUCCAAGAAGCCUUAUUUAACGCUCUUGACCUCGGAUCAGGUAGGGAUCCCCGCUGAACUUAAGCAUAUCAAUAAGCGGAGGA